UGGGGAAUAUUGGACAAUGGGCGAAAGCCUGAUCCAGCCAUGCCGCGUGAGUGAUGAAGGCCCUAGGGUUGUAAAGCUCUUUCGCCAGGGAAGAUAAUGACGGUACCUGGUAAAGAAGCCCCGGCUAACUUCGUGCCAGCAGCCGCGGUAAUACGAAGGGGGCUAGCGUUGUUCGGAAUUACUGGGCGUAAAGCGCACGUAGGCGGGUCAUUAAGUCAGGGGUGAAAUCCCAAGGCUCAACCUUGGAACUGCCUCUGAUACUGAUGAUCUUGAGUCCGAGAGAGGUGAGUGGAACUCCGAGUGUAGAGGUGAAAUUCGCAGAUAUUCGGAAGAACACCAGUGGCGAAGGCGGCUCACUGGCUCGGUACUGACGCUGAGGUGCGAAAGCGUGGGGAGCAA
rnacentral:rRNA from 1 species